rnacentral:rRNA from 1 species
CACGUAGGGGGCGAGCGUUGUCCGGAAUCAUUGGGCGUAAAGAGCUCGUAGGCGGCUCAGUAAGUCGGGUGUGAAACCCCCAGGCUCAACCUGGGGACGCCACCCGAUACUGCUGUGGCUAGAGUCCAGUAGGGGAGUGUGGAAUUCCCGGUGUGAGCGGUGAAAUGCGCAGAUAUCGGGAGGAACACCAGCGGCGAAGGCGGCACUCUGGGCUGGAACUGACGCUGAGGAGCGAAAGCGUGGGUAGCAAACAGG